rnacentral:rRNA from 1 species
GAUGAACGCUGGCGGCGUGCCUAACACAUGCAAGUCGAACGGAAAGGCCACAGCUUGCUGUGGUACUCGAGUGGCGAACGGGUGAGUAACACGUGGGUGAUCUGCCCUGUACUUCGGGAUAAGCUUGGGAAACUGGGUCUAAUACCGGAUAGGAAUCACAUGUGGGUGUGUGGUUGGAAAGCUUUUGCGGUAUGGGAUGAGCUCGCGGCCUAUCAGCUUGUUGGUGGGGUAAUGGCCUACCAAGGCGUCGACGGGUAGCCGGCCUGAGAGGGUGUACGGCCACAUUGGGACUGAGAUACGGCCCAGACUCCUACGGGAGGCAGCAGUGGGGAAUAUUGCACAAUGGGCGCAAGCCUGAUGCAGCGACGCCGCGUGGGGGAUGACGGCCUUCGGGUUGUAAACUCCUUUCGUCAGGGACGAAGCGAAAGUGACGGUACCUGGAGAAGAAGCACCGGCUAACUACGUG